rnacentral:tRNA from 1 species
GGUGAUAUAGCUCAGUGGUAGAGCUCAUGCUUAGCAUGCACGAGGUCCUGGUUUCAGUCCCCAGUACCUCCU